rnacentral:rRNA from 1 species
GCAUAUCAAUAAGCGGAGGAAAAGAAACCAACAGGGAUUGCCCUAGUAACGGCGAGUGAAGCGGCAACAGCUCAAAUUUGAAAUCUGGCCCUCUUCGGGGGUCCGAGUUGUAAUUUGUAGAGGGUGCUUUGGCAUGGGCGGCGGUCUAAGUUCCUUGGAACAGGACAUCGCAGAGGGUGAGAAUCCCGUAUGUGGGCGCCUGCCUUUGCCGUGUAAAGCCCCUUCGACGAGUCGAGUUGUUUGGGAAUGCAGCUCUAAAUGGGAGGUAAAUUUCUUCUAAAGCUAAAUACCGGCCAGAGACCGAUAGCGCACAAGUAGAGUGAUCGAAAGAUGAAAAGUACUUUGGAAAGAGAGUCAAAUAGCACGUGAAAUUGUUGAAAGGGAAGCGCUUGCAGCCAGACGUGCCCGCAGUUGCUCACCCCGGCUCUCGCCGGGGGCACUCUUCUGCGGGCAGGCCAGCAUCAGUUUGGGCGGUCGGAUAAAGGCCUCUGUCAAGUAUCUUCCUUCGGGAUGACCUUAUAGGGGAGGCGCAAUGCGACCAGCCCGGACUGAGGUCCGCGCAUCUGCUAGGAUGCUGGCGUAAUGGCUGUAAGCGGCCCGUCUUGAAACACGGACCAAGGAGUCUAACAUCUAUGCGAGUGUUUGGGUGUCAAGCCCGGGCGCGUAAUGAAAGUGAACGGAGGUGGGAUCCCCUUCGGGGGUGCACCAUCGACCGAUCCUGAUGUCUUCGGAUGGAUUUGAGUAAGAGCAUAGCUGUUGGGACCCGAAAGAUGGUGAACUAUGCUUGAAUAGGGUGAAGCCAGAGGAAACUCUGGUGGAGGCUCGCAGCGGUUCUGACGUGCAAAUCGAUCGUCAAAUUUGGGCAUAGGGGCGAAAGACUAAUCGAACCAUCUAGUAGCUGGUUCCUGCG